AAACCGGUCUCAGUUCGGAUCGCAGUCUGCAACUCGACUGCGUGAAGGUGGAGUCGCUAGUAAUCGCGGAUCAGCAACGCCGCGGUGAAUGCGUUCCCGGGCUUGUACACACCGCCCGUCAAGUCAUGAAAGUGGGCAGCACCCGAAGACGGUGGCCUAACCCUUGUGGGGGGAGCCGUCUAAGGUGAGGCUCGUGAUUGGGACUAAGUCGUAACAAGGUAUC
rnacentral:rRNA from 1 species